rnacentral:rRNA from 1 species
AGCGAACGCUGGCGGCAGGCCUAACACAUGCAAGUCGAACGGACCCUUCGGGGUUAGGGGCGGACGGGUGAGUAACACGUGGGAACGUGCCUUUAGGUUCGGAAUAGCUCCUGGAAACGGGUGGUAAUGCCGAAUGUGCCCUUCGGGGAAGGAUUUAUCGCCUUUAGAGCGGCCCGCGUCUGAUUAGCUAGUUGGUGGGG